GGGGGUGUUUUGGUUUCGACUGGCUUUGCCAUGCCGUAGACUGCGGACCAAGAGCUGACUUGUAAAACCGGCAAAAAAAAUUAAAUGCUAAAAAAGAAGAAGACUACGAAGUCGAAUUCGAAGCAACAGCUCUUGCUGCGUGAGCACUUGAGCGGGACUAAUUGAGUUAAGACUCUGAUUCUCUUAGUCCUUUGACAAAGGGGUCUUAUCCUUUGGGCUUUCAUCGUCCCAUUGGAAAAAUCAAAGAUGAUGCUGCACAGCCUACGCUGGUUCCACUGCCUAAGCUGUGAGUAAGAUCAGAACUGGAACUAUGAUCCGUAGACGUUUAUGGGUGGAUUGUUAGGACGGGAGUUCGAGUCUCCCCACCUCCA
rnacentral:tmRNA from 1 species